GUGUCAGCAGCCGCGGUAAUACGUAGGGUGCGAGCGUUAAUCGGAAUUACUGGGCGUAAAGCGAGCGCAGACGGUUAAUUAAGUCAGAUGUGAAAUCCCCGAGCUCAACUUGGGACGUGCAUUUGAAACUGGUUAACUAGAGUGUGUCAGAGGGAGGUAGAAUUCCACGUGUAGCAGUGAAAUGCGUAGAUAUAUGGAAGAACACCAGUGGCGAAGGCGGCUCUCUGGUCUGUUACUGACGCUGAGGCUCGAAAGCAUGGGUAGCGAACAGGAUUAGAUACCCUGGUAGUCCAUGCCGUAAACGAUGAGUGCUAAGUGUUGGGAGGUUUCCGCCUCUCAGUGCUGCAGCUAACGCAUUAAGCACUCCGCCUGGGGAGUACGACCGCAAGGUUGAAACUCAAAUGAAUUGGCGG
rnacentral:rRNA from 1 species